rnacentral:rRNA from 1 species
AGUCGAGCGAGAAAGUGUAGCAAUACAUGAGUAAAGCGGCGCACGGGUGAGUAACACGUGGAUAACCUGCCUCAAAGUGGGGAAUAACACCGGGAAACCGGUGCUAAUACCGCAUACACCGAUGAGAUCUGUGGAUUUUGUCGGGAAAGGAGCAAUUCGCUAUGAGAGGGGUCCGCGGCUGAUUAGCUAGUUGGUGAGGUAAUGGCUCACCAAGGCAACGAUCAGUAGCCGGUCUGAGAGGACGGUCGGCCACACUGGAACUGAGACACGGUCCAGACUCCUACGGGAGGCAGCAGUGGGGAAUUUUUCGCAAUGGGGGCAACCCUGACGAAGCAAUGCCGCGUGGAUGAUGAAGUAUUUCGGUACGUAAAAUCCUUUCGACAGGGACGAAACCGCAAGGUUGACGGUACCUGUAGAAGAAGCCCCGGCUAACUCCGUGCCAGCAGCCGCGGUAAUACGGGGGGGGCAAGCGUUGUUCGGAAUUACUGGGCGUAAAGGGUGCGUAGGCGGCUUUCUAAGUUGGAUGUGAAAACUAUGGGCUCAACCCAUAGCCUGCAUCCAAAACUGGAGAGCUUGGGUACUGGAGGGGAAAGCGGAAUUCCUGGUGUAGCGGUGAAAUGCGUAGAUAUCAGGAGGAACACCGGUGGCGAAGGCGGCUUUCUGGACAGUUACCGACGCUGAGGCACGAAAGCUAGGGGAGCAAACAGGAUUAGAUACCCUGGUAGUCCUAGCCCUAAACGAUGGAUACUUGCUGUGAGGGGGAUUGAAACCCUUUGUGGCGAAGCUAACGCAUUAAGUAUCCCCCC